ACGUAGGGGGCUAGCGUUAUCCGGAUUUACUGGGCGUAAAGGGUGCGUAGGCGGUCUUUCAAGUCAGGAGUGAAAGGCUACGGCUCAACCGUAGUAAGCUCUUGAAACUGGGAGACUUGAGUGCAGGGGAGGAGAGUGGAAUUCCUAGUGUAGCGGUGAAAUGCGUAGAUAUUAGGAGGAACACCAGUUGCGAAGGCGGCUCUCUGGACUGUAACUGACGCUGAGGCACGAAAGCGUGGGGAGCAAACAGGAUUAGAUACCCUGGUAGUCCACGCUGUAAACGAUGAGUACUA
rnacentral:rRNA from 1 species